AGAUUGAACGCUGGCGGCAGGCCUAACACAUGCAAGUCGAGCGGUAGAGAGGUGCUUGCAUCUCUUGAGAGCGGCGGACGGGUGAGUAAUGCCUAGGAAUCUGCCUAGUGGUGGGGGAUAACGUCCGGAAACGGACGCUAAUACCGCAUACGUCCUACGGGAGAAAGCGGGGGACCUUCGGGCCUCGCGCCAUUAGAUGAGCCUAGGUCGGAUUAGCUAGUUGGUGAGGUAAUGGCUCACCAAGGCGACGAUCCGUAACUGGUCUGAGAGGAUGAUCAGUCACACUGGAACUGAGACACGGUCCAGACUCCUACGGGAGGCAGCAGUGGGGGAAUAUUGACAAUGGGCGAAAGCCUGAUCCAGCCAUGCGCGUGUGUGAAGAAGGUCUUCGGAUUGUAAAAUUCGUUUACACCGGGGGACGUAA
rnacentral:rRNA from 1 species